UUUACCUACGGGAGGCAGCAGUGGGGAAUAUUGCACAAUGGGGGAAACCCUGAUGCAGCGACGCCGCGUGAGCGAUGAAGUAUUUCGGUAUGUAAAGCUCUAUCAGCAGGGAAGAAAAUGACGGUACCUGACUAAGAAGCCCCGGCUAACUACGUGCCAGCAGCCGCGGUAAUACGUAGGGGGCAAGCGUUAUCCGGAUUUACUGGGUGUAAAGGGAGCGUAGACGGCUGUGCAAGCCAGAUGUGAAAGCCCGGGGCUCAACCCCGGGACGGCAUUUGGAACUGUGUGGCUG
rnacentral:rRNA from 1 species